GGUUCAAAAAAGCGUACGCUUUCUUGCGCUUAAGCGUGAAAGCGAGCGAAGCGGAAGGCUAACGCUCGGUUUCAGCCCAAAGCGUACAGUUAAGCGAAAAGCGAAAAAAGCGGUCCGAUUAAGCGCUGAGCGUGCGCUUCCUCGCGCGGAAGCGAAAGAACGCGGAAGAAAUGCGAAGCUUGAGCGUCGAUGGUUGCCGGCAGGAAUCGGAAAAAUCUGGGAGUACGUGGGAGGGAAUCGGCGCAAUUAAGGUUGCGUAGAAGCCGAAUCGACCAUGCCUCCCGUCCAUAAAGGGAGAGAUGGAGGCGGCACAGCUCCUCGUGCUCAGGCCGGCCUGCUGCUCCCUGCUCCUCGUCCGCCGCCGGGGAAGGGCCUCCUCCGCCUCCCUCCGUCUCUUCCUCCAGGCCACCAGGACGUCGGCUCCUCUCCUCCAGGCAGCGCCCUUCAUCCCCUCUCCGACUAGACGCCCAGAGCCCCAGGCCGGACCCCAGAUCGAUCUUGACUCCGGCCAGGCGCGCACAUCAGUACUUGGUUGGAUUGCUGCUUGCUGGACGGAUGCGUCGAUGCAUUGUGGAUUGAUCUGUUGGAUGGUGGAAGAUGUAUGGAACAGAAGUUCCUUUGUUGCAAAACAUGGCAAUGAGGAUCCUAUCAUUGACUUCUAGCUCUUCCGGCUGUGAAAGAAACUGGAGCAUAUAUGAAAUGAUUCACACCAAGAGAAGAAAUAGACUAACAACGGACCGCCUCAACAAUAUGGUCUAUAUACAAUUCAAUACAAGGAUGUUGUCCAAGAGACAAAGGUUGAAGGAUAAGAGGAAAGCUGAUUCUCUUCUAAGUACUGACGCAUCUGAAGCUCAAGGAUGGCUCUUCAAAGGAGGGGAUGAUUAUGCAGUGGUUGUUUUUAGAGAUGAGGAGGAUGGAGACCAAGGUGUGCAUCCGGCUUCGGGGAUACCAUAUGAUGUGAUAGGAGAAGCAAUGGGAGCACAAGAGCAGCUCCAAGUUCGUAGGAGCGCAAGAGUGAGAGAUCUUGAGGAGGAGGAGUUCGAGUCCGAUGAAGAGGAUGUGCUAGAGGAGGAUGAAAUUGAGUAUGAGGAUGAUGAUGAGUAUUGAGCGCUUCAUGUUCAUGAUCAUACCAUCAUAGACAGAUGCCUUGGAGUCUUGGGGAUAUGAUGGCGUCCAUGUGUGCUUAAUUGAGUUAAUUCUUGUGUUUUGUUAUGUUGUGUGGAACUUGCCACUGGAACUUGGAACCUCUUUUCUUUCAUCUAAUGUUGUGUGAGAGCAACGUGAGACUAUGCAGCAAUCAGCAUGCACUAAUAUGUUGUGUGGCCAUGUGGGUCUUAUAAGUUAUAAUAUUGCUUGUUAGUUGUUUCU